rnacentral:rRNA from 1 species
UACGUAGGGUGCAAGCGUUGUCCGGAAUUAUUGGGCGUAAAGAGCUCGUAGGCGGUUUGUCGCGUCUGCUGUGAAAACCCGAGGCUCAACCUCGGGCCGGCAGUGGGUACGGGCAGACUAGAGUGCGGUAGGGGAGAUUGGAAUUCCUGGUGUAGCGGUGGAAUGCGCAGAUAUCAGGAGGAACACCGAUGGCGAAGGCAGAUCUCUGGGCCGUAACUGACGCUGAGGAGCGAAAGCAUGGGGAGCGAACAGG